rnacentral:rRNA from 1 species
CCUACGGGAGGCAGCAGUAGGGAAUCUUGCGCAAUGGGCGAAAGCCUGACGCAGCCAUGCCGCGUGAAUGAUGAAGGUCUUAGGAUUGUAAAAUUCUUUCACCGGGGACGAUAAUGACGGUACCCGGAGAAGAAGCCCCGGCUAACUUCGUGCCAGCAGCCGCGGUAAUACGAAGGGGGCUAGCGUUGCUCGGAAUUACUGGGCGUAAAGGGAGCGUAGGCGGAUAGUUUAGUCAGAGGUGAAAGCCCAGGGCUCAACCUUGGAACUGCCUUUGAUACUGGCUAUCUUGAGUACGGGAGAGGUGAGUGGAACUCCGAGUGUAGAGGUGAAAUUCGUAGAUAUUCGGAAGAACACCAGUGGCGAAGGCGACUCACUGGCCCGUUACUGACGCUGAGGCUCGAAAGCGUGGGGAGCAAACAGGAUUAGAUACCCUGGUAGUCCACGCUGUAAACGAUGAGUGCUAGUUGUCGGCAUGCAUGCAUGUCGGUGACGCAGCUAACGCAUUAAGCACUCCGCCUGGGGAGUACGGUCGCAAGAUUAAAACUCAAAUGAAUUGACGG